AACAGGAUUAGAUACCCUGGUAGUCCACGCUGUAAACGAUGUCGACUUGGAGGUUGUUCCCUUGAGGAGUGGCUUCCGGAGCUAACGCGUUAAGUCGACCGCCUGGGGAGUACGGCCGCAAGGUUAAAACUCAAAUGAAUUGACGGGGGCCCGCACAAGCGGUGGAGCAUGUGGUUUAAUUCGAUGCAACGCGAAGAACCUUACCUACUCUUGACAUCCAGAGAACUUAGCAGAGAUGCUUUGGUGCCUUCGGGAACUCUGAGACAGGUGCUGCAUGGCUGUCGUCAGCUCGUGUUGUGAAAUGUUGGGUUAAGUCCCGCAACGAGCGCAACCCUUAUCCUUUGUUGCCAGCGGUCCGGCCGGGAACUCAAAGGAGACUGCCAGUGAUAAACUGGAGGAAGGUGGGGAUGACGUCAAGUCAUCAUGGCCCUUACGAGUAGGGCUACACACGUGCUACAAUGGCAUAUACAAAGAGAAGCGACCUCGCGAGAGCAAGCGGACCUCAUAAAGUAUGUCGUAGUCCGGAUUGGAGUCUGCAACUCGACUCCAUGAAGUCGGAAUCGCUAGUAAUCGUGGAUCAGAAUGCCACGGUGAAUACGUUCCCGGGCCUUGUACACACCGCCCGUCACACCAUGGGAGUGGGUUGCAAAAGAAGUAGGUAGCUUAACCUUCGGGAGGGCGCUUACCACUUUGUGAUUCAUGACUGGGGUGAAGUCGUAACAAGGUAACC
rnacentral:rRNA from 1 species